ACGGGAGGCAGCAGUGGGGAAUAUUGGGCAAUGGGCGAAAGCCUGACCCAGCAACGCCGCGUGAAGGAAGAAGGCCUUCGGGUUGUAAACUUCUUUUGUCAGGGACGAAGGACGUGACGGUACCUGACGAAUAAGCAACGGCUAACUACGUGCCAGCAGCCGCGGUAAUACGUAGGUUGCAAGCGUUGUCCGGAUUUACUGGGUGUAAAGGGCGUGUAGGCGGAUUUGCAAGUCAGAUGUGAAAUCCCGGGGCUCAACCCCGGAACUGCAUUUGAAACUGUAGACCUUGAGUAUCGGAGAGGCAAGCGGAAUUCCUAGUGUAGCGGUGAAAUGCGUAGAUAUUGGGAGGAACACCGGUGGCGAAGGCGGCUUGCUGGGCCUUAACUGACGCUGAGGCUCGAAAGUGUGGGGAGCAAACAGGAUUAGAUACCCUGGUA
rnacentral:rRNA from 1 species